AUUGAACGCUGGCGGCAGGCCUAACACAUGCAAGUCGAACGAGUGGCGGACAGGUGAGUAAUGUCUGGGAAAAUGCCCGAUGGAGGGGGAUAACUACUGGAAACGGUAGCUAAUACCGCAUACCAUCGGAUGUGCCCAGAUGGGAUUAGCUAGUAGGUGGGGUAACGGCUCACCUAGGCGACGAUCCCUAGCUGGUCUGGGAGGAUGACCAGCCACACUGGAACGUAGGACCGUUCCAGACUCCUACGGGAGGCAGCAUGGGGGAAUAUUGAACAAUGGGCGCAGACCUGAUGCAUCCAUGCCGCGUGUAUGAAGAGGGCCUUCGGGUUGUAAAGUACUUUCAUCGAGGAGGCGUUACUCGCAGAAGAAGCACCGGCUAACUCCGUGCCAGCAACCGCGGUAAUAC
rnacentral:rRNA from 1 species